rnacentral:lncRNA from 1 species
AACCAUGUGUGGCAUCUUUCCGAACUCCCCCGACCAUCCGAGCUUUUGUAAUACCAUCUGGACUUCUCCAAUAAUGGGCUCCUCCAUUCAUCUACCGGGCUGCUCCAGCCAAUUUUCUACAGUGAUCGACUAUUCUCCAAAUCUCAGCCUAGACUUCUUCCGGCCACGAACAACUUUACUCCGAACUUCUUUCGGGCUUCAUCGACAUCCGAGCUUCUCCAACAAUAAGACUUCUAC